CCUACGGGUGGCUGCAGUGGGGAAUAUUGCGCAAUGGGCGAAAGCCUGACGCAGCGACGCCGCGUGAGGGAUGAAGGUCUUCGGAUCGUAAACCUCUGUCAGCAGGGAAGAACGGUCACUGUGCUAAUCAGCAGUGAAUUGACGGUACCUGCAAAGGAAGCACCGGCUAACUCCGUGCCAGCAGCCGCGGUAAUACGGAGGGUGCGAGCGUUAAUCGGAAUUACUGGGCGUAAAGCGCUCGUAGGCGGUAUGUCAAGUCAAGGGUGAAAUCCCCGCGCUCAACGUGGGAACUGCCUUUGAAACUGGCGGGCUGGAGUUGGAGAGAAGUACGCGGAAUGCGCGGUGUAGCGGUGAAAUGCUUAGAUAUCGCGCAGAACCCCGAUUGCGAAGGCAGCGUACCGGCUCCACACUGACGCUGAGGCACGAAAGCGUGGGUAUCGAACAGGAUUAGAUACCCCUGUAGUC
rnacentral:rRNA from 1 species